GUACUUUGUUUUGUUGGUCCUACUUGUGCGCCCACGCAAUGUGUUUCACCUCACCCACCUUUUGGCCAGCUCACGUGUGACGCCGAGUUACGGUAUCCUCUCUUUAGAGGAGGGCGUAACACAGGGCCUCAAACACAGAGUUUAAACAAAAGGUACUUUUAAUAAUUUAAAAAUUCAAAAGUCGAAGGGGAAAAACAUGGACAGACACAGAACAGGCACUCACAGGCAAGAUGACGACAGACGAGAGGAACAUCCACAAAGACUUUUAGACAUUGACGAUAUUCACGAGCACGAAUGACAUUCGAUGACACGACAAGGGACACGCAUUGCUUAAAUACACUGGGAAGUUGCAGGUGAUUGAACACGGCAGACAAUGACAGGGGCUGACAGGACAAGGCAGGAAGUGAAGUUAAUCCAGGAGCACCAGAGGCGUGAAACUACAAAAUAAAACGAGACGUGAACCCAAACCACGACACCAGCAUUAUGCUAUGAGCUGAUAUUGGCUGUGUCCAGGUGUAUACAACCAACCAGAUGAGGCACUGUGUCUCCAAACCUUAUUGUUGCUGUCAAACCUUUAAAGGGGUUCUCUCCGUUGUUGCUGGUGUAAUUUCAGCGCGAAACCGGAUACAACCCUCCUCCACCCAAGGCACCUCCAGCCAGCUGUCACGCAUUCUUCAGUCAUCCUCGGUUUUCAUCAACUCCCUUCUUCACCACCACCACCAGUGUCUGGACUCCAGGCAGAGAUUCUGCCAAGCAGAACUCUGCAUCACAGCCCCUUGAUUAUCCUGGAGUCCAAUCGCCAAGAUUGUGCAUUAUUUCAAUGUUAUAAAUGUGUAAUAAAUGUUUGUCAAUUUGGGCCGAGUGUCUCCUGAUUGAACUUCCAUUGUGCAUUGUCAUUGAGGUAGUCAAGGAAAUAACAUGUCAGAAAUGAUCAACCAUGGCACAGUAACAUAAAGGGGAAAAAAUGAAAUUCUAUCAUUGUAGACAGAGCUGUAAACUUUAUUGCACUCCUUAAGUAAGAGAGUCACAUUGUCCAAGGUGUGGCCCGACAAAAUAAAAGGUUUACAUAACAGUCUUAUGUACACUUCACGUGGUUGAAAACAUCUCCUGACUACUUUAGGACUACCUUAAUCUUAGGACAGGAGCCUACGGAGUACACUCGUCUGUCUGCCUCAGGGUGCUGUGACCUCAUCAUGGACACAUUAUGAAGACCAUGUGUCAAUGCUGAGUAAAUGCCGCAGUGUAGCAGGGGAGUAUAUCAGAUUUAUAAGAUCAGCCUUUUCAUUCAACUGCCUGAGAAAUCUAUCUUCCAGAUUGGAGCAGAAUGUUAGAUGCAUGCCACUCUUUAGUUUUUCAGAGACAAAUGGUUGCUCUGUGCAAAUAUCAGGGCAUUCAAACAGCAGACAUAUUUUAAGUCUAUCUUUACCCGUGAUCGCUGUGGCCGAAUAAAAACAGGUUCUAGCUCUCUCUGCUCAUCAUAUCAUCUGUGUAGUGCCCCAGGAGGCAUCGAUGUUGUCUACCUACGUUGAAAUCCAGUGACACUGUAACCUACCUUUUGUCUCUUCUCCAUUUUCCAUCACUUUAAGGAAAGUAGGCAGAUAGUUGAUUGGGUAUGUUGUUCAAUGCAUUCAAAACUUGGCAAUCAGACUUUAUCGUUCACUUCUUUGUUGAGUCAGGCCUCGUGUUCACUUUAUCGGAUUUCUAUUUAGAAGCAGAAGUUAUUUUCUAUUGACUUGGCAGAUGAGAGACCCUUCGGACAUUGGGAGCAGUUUGACGUUCAUUUCUUAAAAUGUAUGUGUGUAUUGUAACUCUUACAAUGGAAGCAGUUUGGGGUUUGAUGUCUGGCUGGACACUUUCAAACUAUUUUUUCUGUAAGGUCUUUAUACCUUAACAAUGAUACUUUAAUAUUGCAAUAAUCAAUGCACAUAUUUUAUACUUUGUCUAGUUAUAGUGAUACACUUGCAAAGAAGUAUCACACACCACCUGUGUCUGCUAUCAAGCUUUUUACAUUAUUUAGAUUCAGAUUAGGUUUUAUGGCCCAGAUCCCUCCAUAUCAAAGAGCAAUCUCAAUGUCAGAACAAAUGUAUGAAAGAGAAAAAAAAACGCAAGUAGCCACAUUAUCCUGCUGGUUCAGUUGAUUCAGUUGCACAACACCAACACUAAUUUAAUCACCAAAAAUAAAGAAUAAAAGAGGAGACGUGUGUAGUGGUUCAGAGGUCUUGAAUCAAACACAAAAAAAAUUGUGCUAACACAAAAAAUUGUAAUGUUGGGGAUUUAAAUUAUGUUGCAGAUCAAGGACAUUGACGUCAGGCACAGCUAAAGAAAGAGAUGAAAGUAUGCCUACCUUCUUCCCAUGAAAGAGAUCCACUCUUACUGAAACAGUUGGGAGAAGGAAGGAAUGAGAAAUCUGCCAGCGAGGCAGCAGUGACAUUGGCCAGGUUUAGAAUGGACUUUCAGCAUGUGAAAUCAGCUGCCCCACUGUAAGUUACAUCCCCUGUGCUCAAGAGAAUAUCAAUAUUUCCCCCUACUUUAGUGGCCAUAAGAUUGAAACCUUGCGAGCACGCAGCAUAACAGGGAAAAUAUUAAAGCUUUUGUCAAACUAUAAAAAACAUGUUUCUUGAAACUGCCUAUGACAAAGGAACCAGAGGGCGUUGAGAACGGUGGGCUAGUUUUUGCUCUUAAAAUAUCCUACAAUGUCCUCAAAGUGGUAUGAUAAUGGUCCAUGUCAACGGAGGUCAGCAGCGGAGGACGACUCCAGAGUUUACUUUACCCUUAAUGUACACGUGAUUAAAUGAGACAAAGUUUUGGCAGCAGCUGGAGCUCUGAUGUUUGUGAUAAUAUCUUAAUAUUAAAUGUGCCUCAUGAAAUACAGCCAUAACGAAAGACUGUUUUUUGUGGUGAUAGUUAUGGAUGUGCUUUAUAAAGAUCUAUACUGCAUUAAAAAUUCUGUGUCCUUGUCGUCUUCCGAGCAGACUACUGCUUUUGUGGCAACACACUGUCUUUGUAACGCUGGAUGCUCUAGUGUCUGGUUUCCAUGUAUCUCAAAGAAGCCAUCUCAUACUCAAUGUGGUGAAAAUUCUCUUUUAAUGUCCAUGAAUAGUGCCUUAAAAAGCAAAGAACGUUACUGUGCUUGACUGUAGUGGAAAAAUUUAAAAUCGAAUGAGAAGAAACUAGAAAAAAAACAUUUUUGAACGCAUACAUUUUACACCGGCUGCUUUUUAAUAAAAAAAGCUUUGUAAUUGGUGUCAUUCACUGUUGUCUAUAACUGUAGUGACUGACAGAAACCCCACUAAGCACAUGAUUAAUUAUAUUUGGUUUGACGGUUAGAUACAGUUUUGGUCAAAUGUUUACAUACACUCGUAAAGAACAUGGCGGUCUUGAGCUUAAAUAAUAUCUACAACGAUUAUUUUUCUGUGAUGGAAUGAUUGGAGCACAUUUUCUUUCUCACAAAAACAUUGAUGAAUUUUGGUUAUUUUUAUGAAUAUCUUUGUACAUGAGUGCUAGUCCACUACAUACAGUCUGGCCUGCGGGGUCCUGCCUUCCUUCCUCCACCCAACCCCGGCCCACCCUGUGACUGACUGGACAAGACACACCUGCUUCCACUCAGCCUCAGCCCCUUUGAAGUGAACAUAUGGACCUCUCCUUCCACUGUGCUUCGGGCCUCUUUGCCCUAAUUUCCCACUGUAUACACAGAUUAUCUGUGCCUGGGUAAUGCAAACAGAGGGAUCAUCUAAAUGUAUGUGAACACCCCUAAUGGCCCCUGCCAAUUGGUCCAGCAACAUGGCUGUUGGAUCUGGGAUUGCUGCAGUAAAGAUUUGCACUGUGGCUAAUUCGUCGAAGGGAUUACGCAGGUCUGCAGGGGUUGUUCCACGACUCAGGAGUUAUUGGUAUGGGAGUAAUACAUACUUAUCAUGUGGAUCUAUCAUCCCUUUCUGCUGGAUUUGGAAUGAGCUGCCUCUAGCUAUUCAUAAGCUCAAGAUGAAACUAUUCCAGGUCCAUGAGAGUUUUUUUAUGAUCAGUCGAAAUUUCCUUGGAGGAAUUUUUGACACAGGAGUUCUAUUUGGCUUGGCAGUGCUGUCAACUACGUAGCAGUACCACUCCAAAGAUUGACUAUGUAAGCUGUUCAAAUUGAAAUUUGAGUAUUUGAAAGUCCAAACUGACGUAAUUGACUACUUGGCAAUGAUAAUCUGAUGCAAAAAACGGUUUGAUGAUUUCUUCCAGAUCAUAAACUUGGAUCGAAUUCAACCAAGAAACUCCACACGUCACUCCGACUGAAAGACAACCACAACACAGUGUGCGAUGCAGUUAAUGAGUUUAAAGCACAAGACAGCAUCUGUCUCAGGCUCUCUGAGCUCUCUGUGAGUCAUACUUAUAGGUAGGGGCAUAAAAUCAACAGUCAUUGGAAACAAGCAGCUUCUGUAAGGGUUUCGGGAAAGCUCUCGAGGGAGGCCUCACUCCUUUGUUCUCGUCCCGGCCGGAAAGAAGAAUCAAAAGAGUCAGCUUGCUUAAAUUCAAAAAUCAAAAAGUAUUUAAUGACUAAACAAAGUUAUAAGGAAUCAAAUUACAAAGUGAAAUACAAAGCGAACAGUAAAAUAUUUCGCCAAAUAGAGAAUCCUCUGAGCAAGUCUAAAGCGACUUAUCAAAGCGGCUGCAGGAAAAUUCUAACAGUCCUUUCCCUGCUUUGGUCCUUUGAAAACUCUUCAGGUGUGUCUUCUUGGGUGCAUUUGAAUGUCAUUGGCUUCUUCUUCAAAGUGUCCCCUCCUGUAUUGUCCCCUUCACGUCGAGGUGUGAAGCUGCUGCUGUAACCUGAAACCUCUCUGUCCUAUCUGUCCCUCACAUUCCAAUGCAUUCAAUGUAGAUACAAUUGGCUUCAUGCCUCAAUGAGUGAAUUUAACAAAGCAUACAUAGUUUGUCUUCAUCUUAUAACUAGUACACCUUAAUUACAACACAUCAUUAAUGAUCACCGUUCAUCACACUUCAUCAUAGAUCUAAAACAGUUCAUGUGGUUCAAUUCUCAAGACAUUUGCCCCAGUUGGCUGCCUUACAUUAAGUUGUUCAUUUACUACCUGACAGGAGAAAAAACUCCCAAAAAAAAACUCUUUGGGGGGUAAAAUUGGGAGAAAUCGGCAAUUAGCAUCCGUCCCAAGGUUUUAACAUCACAUUGGGACAGAAUGUUAAUGUGUAGAGUGUUUAUACGAUUCAAAUGACUAUAAACUGUGUUUGAUUAAAAUUGUAUUCACUUCAUCUAACAUGUUAAUGUAAUAACUAAUAUCUAACAUCACACAAACUAUAAUUCUAACACUAAACAUUAUUACACGUACUAUAAAUUCUAUGACUAGGGGUGCACUUCUGGCUUAAAUCCCUAACACUUCCCACAGAUGUUGUUGUCAGAUGACAGUUGCUGGGCAUCACCAGACCUGCCAAGAAGAAAGGAGAGCUCCCGCGUUGCACCUGAUGGUGCGCACUAAGGCAUUCAGGUAGGCCUGGGAAUUAAGCUCAGGCCCCGGGAAGCCAGACGAAGCCACAUGGACGGACCGCCAGCCAAAAGAACUUCAGACCACACCGAUGCUGCACUUUGUUAAUGAAGAUUGUGUGCGUGCGUCUGGACCUUGUGAAUGUUCAUCAACAGCAUGUGCCCGCCCGCCCAGCUGCCUCAACCACUAACCCUCUUUGAAAAAUAGAUCGUUUCCAGGGACGCUCUCUUCCCAGCGAAUGACAGUCUCCCAUGAUGCACGUUUGUACACCAUUCACGUUCUUAAGAUGUCGGAUCACAAAUCACCUGGAUGUGCAGCUGCGCCAGCUACAUCACAAGCCGUUCUAUAAUGGGAAAAAUCUCCAGUUUACAUCUUGGCAGAAGGAAAAUCACAGCUAAGCUUCAACUGGUUUUCCUCGACUGCCUUGUGGACGGUCGCAAUCUGGACAGAUUGCAGACAGGGCUCUUGACAAAUUGCCAUCUUUGAUUUUAUUGGUGUUUGACCUUGAAACUGAUGUGGGAUGCCUCUGUGUUAUGAGGGAAUAGAUUAUGAGCAAAUGUGUUUUCAAUAGAGCUCAGAUUUUUCCGUGCUAGCUGGUUUACAAGAGUUUUUGAAGUGGUUAUUCAGAGAGGGCCAUAAGUGGGAGCGACACGGAUCAUAUUUCCAAAAGCUUUCUUUGGGGCAGAUGCGGCAUCCUUAAAAGUAAUUUACAAUAUAUCCUAUGCUGCACUGUAAGAGUAUCUAAACCAGACUGGCAGCCAUGGCUUAAAUUGCCUGGAAACAUCUUGCUUUCCAUCGUAAUAUAUGAUGUACUUUACUAUAAAAUAGUGCUUGAAGAACUGCAAUCCACUAUGGUAAUAUCUCCACUGAAGAUUACCGUCAAUGACACAUACCAUAUAGGAAUGUCAUAAAAAUAUUCAGUUUCCAUUUCAAUCAAAGCCCCAUAAAAUUGUAUGUAAACUGUAAACAUUCUAUUUUAAAGAUUGAUAGAAGCAAAAUUUGUAUUGAAAAGCUGUUGAGUCAACUGUAAUUUCCAAUAGAACACACAAUCUAGUAGUCUCAUACCAAACCUUCUAACUAUAACGGAAUCAAUAAAGUUUCUUGUCAACUGCCAACCAACAUACAUCAGACUAUGCAGGUGUAUUUCUGGGAAGUGUAAGGUUUUUUGGUUAAGCAGUUUUUCUGGAAUUUACAAGCAUCAAUUCUUGAGUCCAAGCAAUUGACUGGGUACUUCAAAAGUUCCUCCCUAAACAGCCAGUAAUUAAAGACAAAGAUACUGAUACGUCAUCCUUAUAAACCAUUAUUGUGGUUGUGGUUCAAACCCUAUCACCAUCUAACACCAACAUCAAUACAAUAUCAGUGAGAACCUGCUGAUAGCUCAGAGGGAAUAAAUAGGGGGAAAGUCAUUGGUUCAUUCCUGCGGUUAGUCUUAUAUCAAACAGAAAUAAUCCCUUUGGGAUAAUUGAAAAGUCGGAAAAACAAUAUGCUGUUGUCCAAACAGCACAUAUGGCAAUGUGUAAAAUUUGAAGUAGGUAAAUUACAGAAAGGAUACUUUUUGUCGGCACAAAUCCAACGUCUUUCCUUUACAGUGGAUUAUACUAUCACACAAAACUUGCAUUAGCAUACACAUGGAUAUGCCCUUUCCCUAAUCCAAUUUAUUCCAAAAGGAACAAUUUAUUGUACCUUGCCUCCUUUCGCUCCCCCUCCUCCCCUUUUUUUUGCUCCCAGGCUAUGAUGAGGAAUGGAGGAACAGAAGGGAUUAGUUUACCAGGAAAUUGAAAAGGUGGAAGGGCAGCCAGAUAUGUGAGAUUACUCUAGUUUAAAACACACAGGCUGAUGAGGAUAACACGUGUGUGUUUAACACGGAGCGUGAGAGGGGAAUAGUUGGAUUGAAGGUGGUGAUAGAUUGAGCGAUAAAUGAGAAAGCAGAGAGGGAAUUGUGAUUGUGUCUGGUUUGUUCCUCCGUAAGUAUAGGCGUGUGUGUGUGUGUGUGUGUGUAUGUUGAAACAUUUAUGAAUCUGAUCAUAAUGUAAGGCAAGUCCAUAAGAGGCCUUAGGCAAAUAGAAAAAAGCAGGGGCAACCAUCUAGUUGAAUAAAGCCAAUCUGUGUUCUUUCUCAUGUCCAAAACCACAACCAGAUACUCUCAUCAGUUCCGCCCAUCACUACAAGUUCACUACAAAUAUUUCUUCGCCUCUUGGCUUUGUCAAUACAACCAGAUGAUCAAUUUGUCAGUUAUACUCCCAUUUAGAAAUAAAUGGACACUUAAGCCCCCCUGACGGGUCAAUAGUGUACUUAUACUAAAGGGCAAGGUUGCAGUUGGUUGUUGACAUUUUAACAUUGUUUAUUUGCCAAAAUGAUGCCCAUUCUUGUCCAAAUAUGGUCACUUCUCAUUAAAAAACGAAACAAGAUGAUAACCGUUCAAAUGGCAAAGUCUUCAGACGGCACACCACCAUCAGGGAAAUUGUGGUGACCACUUCUUUUUAUAUAUUAAGAUAAAAAACCGCUUACUAUGCUACAGAUCACAAAAAAUGCACUACACACAGGUGUAGAAAGACACCCUAUGGAUAUUUUUUGGUCUUGAAAAGGUUUAAUGUAAACUCUGGUAAACCUAUGUAUUGUUUGUUCCCAUAUCUGUAAAAGUCGUUUCAGCCGGAGAUCUCCUUGGAGCCAUUCCUGCUGCGAACCAACCCUGGGUCUUCACUCAAAUGUAAUUACACUUUAUGGAGAAUGAACUGCUUUAAAAAGUCUUGUUAUCUCCAGAUAGAAAAAAAUAUAAAGAUCUUACAUGAAACCUGUGAGUAGGUGCGUUGAAAAAAAAUGACUGUCUCUCAUUUUCCAAGGGGGCCACAGCCUUACAGACAAUAAGUAAAACAUAAUGUGCAAUGAUACAUAGACAUUAACUCUCCUAUUCCUAUUGUCAUUAUCCUUGCCCCAAUGGUAUUUGAUGUGGAAAGUCAAUGGAGACCUCAAGCCAACAGCUCACAUGUGAUAAUAAUAAGUAAUCCGCAGGGUUGGUGUCAUUACUUUAUAGCCUCCACUGAGCCAGAAAAUCAUGGGUAAGGAAAGAAAAUAUGCACAUUGCUAUUGCACUAAUUAGACUUUACGCCCUUUGCAGUCCAUUCAAUAUAAUUACAUUAACAGUUAUGUGUAUAUAUUUGAUCAUUAUCCGGUUUUGAACUAGUAUAGCUCGCUUACAUGGGGUAUAAUGAUGUAGUAGAAGGUAUCAUUAUAGUCAGGACGAAAAAGGCUACAAUGCAUGUUAGGGAUACUUAAUGUUAGGGAUAGAUAACCCAAGACAAACCUCUCUCAAAACCAUUGAGCCUAGGAUGUAUACAUUACAUGGUAUCCGCACUAGCCCUUGAGUCAUACAUUUAAAGUGUUCCUAUCUGUCCGGCUGUGAACAGCAUAUAUGUCAGCAUUUUGUCUGAUGACAAUCAUGGAUGUCGAAACAUCAUUUAUUUGUGCAACUAUCAGAGGCUCAUUUCCCUGUGUGUUAGCUUUUCUCACAGUAAGGACUUAAUCGCAGACCAGGGCUCCGUUUCAAGUAGGCGGUUUAACAAACUCUGAGUGGAACCCUAAACUCUGAGUUGAUUUACCCUGAAACUGAGUUUUGGGUUUCAGAACAGCUGUUUAGAGUUGGUUCCAUCAACUCGGAGUAGGUUGACUCAGAGUUGAGUGCGUGCACCACCACAGUAUGAAGGCGGCAUGAAUAGAGGCAUGAUACUACGAUUACCACGGCAACCACGACAAACGAUCGGUCGGCGUACUUCACCCAUAUUGAGGUGGAAGUAUUAAUGCAAGUGUACGGCGAGUAUGAACACAUCAUUAGAGAAAAAAGCAACGCCGCUACUGCAGUAAAAGAGAAACGUCGUGGGAUAAAAUUGCUGCUCGGGUCAACGUGUAAGUUCCAAUAUAGUGUUGUCAGUUAAUAUUUAAUUUAAACUCAGUUUGUUAGAAUGCACUACACACAGGCUUGACAUACACACCCAUGCUCAUAUUUAAUCAAGAAUAAUAACGCUGGUAACAACUGGUACAAUGGUAUUGAACCUAUAAUGUAUUUUAAUCAGGUGCAAUCCAGGUGAGAAAUGGUCGUGGAAGCAGCUGAAAAUAAAGAAGAAAAGUAUAGUUCAAACAGGUACGGUGUUGCAUGUAAUAUGAUCAUGGCUGUACUUCGUUGUAAUCACAUUUCACAAAUCACAAAUUUGAAUGUAAUGUAGCUUUAUCCCCAACACAAUUUUGCGUACACAAAUGUCCUCUCACCUAUCCAGUUUUGUUAAAGUAAAUGGCCCAUUUAAAAUAGCAUGUGACUUCCACUCAGCCAACAGAGAGAAGGCAGAGGCCCGAAAAACAGGUAGAGGACCAGCACCACCGCUUCUGACAGAGGCUGAGGAGCUAGCCAGCUCCUCAGCCUAAACAAGGGAAGGCCAGUGGCUGAAGGCAUCCCUGGAGGGAGCUCCUCAUCUGAGGCAGCCACAUCCCAAGUCACAAGUGCCUUUAUAGGAUGUAAUGGCCUUAUAUUCAUCUUAUUCCAAUGUGAAAAUAUCAUUUAUUGUUUAUUUUUAUCGUUGGUGGUGCUCUCUCUCUUGUGGACCCUCAUGCCACAGCAGAAGUCCUUGAAGCUGUAAGACAACUAAAUACCCCAGACAUGAUGCAGGUAUUAUCACCACUAUGUUACUGAUGGUCAUCUCCACAUUCACAAUUCUUAACACUGCUGUCCCCACAGCAGUGUGUGGAUAUGGAGUGUGACAUAUGAAUGGAUAUUCUAUUUCUUAACAGAACGUGGCUGGGCAAAAGGAGGAGGGUCCAUCAACUUCCACAUCACAACUAAACACAGUGAGAUGUGCAAAAAUGCCAGAGAUUCAUAAUGUUCAACUGUAUGAUUUUAUUGUCAUGAUGUUAUGUAUUCACAGUUACCUGCAAAGGACCUUUAUAGGAUCCACCUAGUCAAGAAUAUAAAAAAGUGACCUUGAAAUGGUGUUUGCAGUCCAGGCCAGAUAAAAAAAAGAGACUGAUCUCGAAAUCCUAAAAUACAAGCUAGAGGUGGGUGCACGGUCACAGGUGAUUUGUGUUAAAUAUUGGAUAAGAGAAACCCAACUUUUGCUUUUGUAUUUUUAGGAAAUAAAGAGGAAAUGAAGUUUGAUGCAUUUUCUUUAUUUGGGUGGUGCACGUGUUUUAUUCGGUAAGGUGAUUUCUGCAUAUGAUGUCUCUGACUGCUCUUCCAUCCUGCACAUCUGCAGGGUAAAUAGGGUCCUCAUCAGGGUCCUCUAUUUGUUGGGCAGGGUGUUGCUCUCCUGCAGUGGGCCACAUUAAAGUUGCUCUGAGGGCCUGGAUCAGGGUCAGGAUAAGGAGUGAGCAGAGUGGGCUGGUACGGGUAACUUCUGUCACCCGGUCUUCAAACUCUCCUCUAAUGUAUAGGGUAUACAUGUGAGUGUAUUUAAAGAGGGUGACGGGUGAAUAAUACCGUACAAGGCUUUAAGCUGCUUACCACGUUCCAUCCUGUUGCUGAGGGCAGACUACGAUAUACCCGUGAGUCACGCACAGACCCAGGCCAUUUUGCCUCUACAUUAUUUAUUAGGCAUGCAGCAUCACAUAUGAUCUUGAUGGUACAGAGAAUGACACUUGUUACUUGCAGUAUUGUGAUGUGGUAUUUGACAUUUUGUGACAGUGGUAAAUUUACCUGCUCAUUGAUGGUGUGAAAAGACUUCCUAUUCACAUAGUCUGCUUCAUUCACUGAAGGAGCAGUGAUUAGGAUUUAUGUCCCAUCAAUGCAGCCAAUCACAUUUGGAAAUCCUAAAAUAAAUUAAAAUUCCUUAUACCAUUCUGAUCUUGCAACGCCAUGUCAUUAACAAAAUUAUAAUAAUGAUUAAUUCUAAAGGGUUUCACAUCAUUCACCUGCAAUCCUGUGGAACUCCUCUUUAAUGGCUUCACUGAAAACAGAAAAAUGUUUAAAAGACGUUUUAGAGCGAGGCACACUUUUCUCACGGCAUACAGCAGCUUUACUAAUAUUCUCCUCAUCCCCGACGUUGUACAGGAAAAUGCUGUUUGGAAAAAAACGUAAUGCUACAAUCUGAAUCUGCUCGGACGUGAGAGCAUGUCCACGAUGAGUAACAUUAGUGUAUAUAUCUAAUCGGGGCUUCAAUAUUCUCUCCCGGCUUAUGUUUAACACCCUGCGAAGCAAUACCACUUCUUCGUCAACAGGAUCGUCCAGAAAAGGACGUGCCAUCCUCGAGAAAAAAAUCUUCAUAUCUUAUUUUGUUCAUAUGUCUAAACUGCGCUAAAAUACACCUGAUACGGUGUACUUGAAUGAAUGAGGAAAUGAAAGCUUACCAUGGUGACUGACCCUGAGCUUUACGACAGAAAGACAUACCUAUAUAUAGGAGGGGAAACUAACAAGACACAGGGGAAAAAAAUCAGGCAGACAAUCAGGGAGAUGAUGGGGGACGGGUGAGUGACAACAGCAGAGGGCGGAGUCUACGGAGAAUGACAGAAACACAGCAAACACCUGACGAAAUAAACAAACAGGGGGAAACACGUGGCAUAAGACAACAGCGAUCACAGCGAAAAAUGUCUCUUAGACAUGAAUCGAUCACGUUUUCCUCAUUGUCCCUCAUGAUGGAGUUUCAACGGGUCCUAAGCACAUGAGACAAACUAGUUUAGUACUCUAGUGGGAUGUAUGAACAGAAACGAGUGUCCGUUCUGGAUUAAAUGCUCUACUUUUACUGUCCACUUUUCUCUUUUUGGACAGCACCUUUUGUUAAUUAUUUAUCUCACCCGUCUCUUCUCUCGCUUUCUCCGUCGCACUCGUCUCCUUGUCAAAUUUCGCAAUUUUUUGUUUCUACCAUCUUUUUCUUUAUAAUUUGCAGCUAUCUCUCUCGUCUGUCUGCAAUAUUGAGACAAUAUCAUCCUGCCAGGAAUGCAAAGGGUCGAGUGGUAUGACUUUAACUUGGGUUGGGAUGGCAUAACUUCAAUGCAAUUGGUCUGUGCUUUAAACCAUUACCGCAAAGACUACCAAAGUUGCACCGGUCAAAAAGUGCCCCAUUGUGGUAAAUAACCGUCUGUAUAACUUCAGGUCCGGGUCCAGAUAUGCUGGUGUCUUGGUCUGGAUCAGAUCCGGACCGCUGUUCGCUAGUUAGGGACCUUUGUCCUACAACCACUCAAGGUAUCCCUGCACAUAAAAACUGGCUAACUCAUUGAUACACCAGGCAGACAAAGCCUACGGAAGAUAUCGGACACGUGGCGCCAGGGAUCAAUGAUCAACUUAAUGAAGCAAGACAACCCACCUCUACUUCUGAGUCAAAGGGACUUUAUAAGUCCUGCCAACUUUCAAAUUGUCCCGUCAGCUGUUGAGGUUUCAGGGAAACUCGAUCUCUUAAAACAGCAUAUAGGCUUAGUAAACACACAGAAAAGGUGCAUCCAAUAGUCAUUGUGACUAACUGCACAGGGAGUAUGAGAGCUGGUUCGCUUAUUCAAUAUACAUUUGCAUUUUGAGGUUUUGAAUUUUCUUCAUAUUUUAAUGGCAAACGUACAACCAAGUGUUAAAUUUGGCAGCUUUAGUCUUUACUUUUGAUGAAAUGCAUGUUAGUUUUAGUCACAUUUAGUCAUUUUAAUCCUCCUUAGUUUUAGUCUAUUUUUCGUCAACAAAAAAUAAUUACAUUUUAGUGUAGUUUUAGUCAUAUGUAAUAGCCAUAUUGUAGCAGUUCUAUCAAAAGCCUCCACCUGUCACGUGUGUUCGCACGUGUCUGUUGCUUAGUAACGAACGUACGGUAGUCGAGGCGGUUUAACACCGUCUUCUCACGAGGUGGCGUGUGAACUAUAGUUGACAUGCGUGUGUCACAGUCAAUGCGUGAGGCUUCAGAACCUGCAAUGAGUUUAUUAUGUUAUACGUGUGUUUGUAGAAGAUUACUGUAACGGACCGUGUCAUGCAGGAGACGGAGCAGGUCCGCAUGGAUUUCUGCUGGCCGACUGUCUGUUAAACGGGUCUUCAUGUUUCUCUAUAGCACCGCGGCUUCAGACUGCUGAGUUAAACUAAGGAAGUGCAUGUUCAAACUCGCCAAAGCGUAAAUUAGUCGUCGUCGUCCAUAGUCGGUGCACGAGAAGCACUGAUGUGACAGAGCGUGCUGGGUUCGCGGAUGAUGAUCUCUCGACCCUUUAAUAAGGGGCAUUACACUACAAUAAACAAAAUAGAGAGAUAUAGAAUUACACCCGCCAAAGUGGCUCGAGAGAGACAUAGCUUUACCUGCCGAAUUCCACCCGGAUUUUGCGGGUCGGCGGUUGCUGAUGUCCCCUGACUAUAAGUAAGUUUCCAUUUAAGUGCUACUAAAAUUGAAAUAAAAAAAGUAUUGUGACUUCAUCAACCACCAACAUUUUUGUCUCAUUAUCGUAAGUUUGAAAAUAAACACUAUGACUAAAUCUAUUCUAAGGUCCAUUUUCGUCACGUCUUAGUCAUGGGAACCCGGUUUGGGUUCACGUCUCGUUUUAUUUUGUAGUUUCAUGCCUCUGGUGUCCCUGGGCUAACUUCACUUCCUGCCUUGUGCUGUCAUCCCCUGUGAUUGUCUGCCGUGUCCAAUCACCUGCACCUUCCCAGUGAAUUUAAGCCAUGUGUGUCUUUGUCCCUUGUCGGGUCAUUGACUGUAACUCCACAAGUCUUGAAUGUCUACCCUGAACCUCGUCCCCGUGACGUGUAAGUUCCUGGUCACCGUCUUUUUUGAAUUAUUAAAAGUACCUUUUGUUGUUGUGUCUGAGUCCUGCUAUCGGUCACGCCACCCCGGCCGUCGUGACAGGUUGUUAACGAACAUUUUUUGUCGACGAUAUUGACACUGGUACAACCAGUGUGCUGCACGCGGAAAAUGAAAUGUUUGACGCAUAUGAUGAUACCCAUCAUUUCUGAAAUUAGGUGUCCGUUUUCUUAUUUAUGCAUCUUCAAAUACCUAUUUUAUAUUUUUUAGAUGUCAGUUCUAAGGUCCCCAGAUUAAUAUUGCCGAUUUCAAGGAUAGUCAGAGCUAUAUAUCUUGUAACAAACUGAAGUUUUCAUUUAACGCUAUACUUGGCAACAAAAAUUCUAUGAAUCUAGGGUCAUCUAGUAUUUCUACUCUCCACGCUGCGGCCAACAUGCACAAUUAGUCUGAUGAGCGAUGAGUAUCAUUGAAGUAUACCUUUGCUUCAGUCAUCUUCCACAGUCAUAUUCCCCAAUAUCACUUUUGUUUUGGCACUGGUCUCAGCUGUAUUGUAAAUGUCAAACUGAUGCAUCGGCGGCCAUUUAUGAUAUUGUUGGACAUCGAUCUAUUUGUAAAGAGCUGCUUGCAUACACACAAAUGUGCUAUUAUUUACAGCAAAGCAUCUUUCUAGUGCUCUCCAGUUGAAAGACAGCCACCUUAGGGUUACAUGUGACAGCAAGGAGAAAGAUGUAUGAGUAAGCUGUGCAUAUGAGCGUGAUCUGUGCUGGCUCUGGUACAUUAAAGGUGUUAAAGAAAUGUAUUAUGCUGUAUUGACCUUUGGAGGGCCAAUGCAGUGCCAACCACUACCAUGAUACACACAUGAUGAUACAUGCAGUAAACGCACAUGAACAUACAGGUUUCUUUUCUAUCAGAGGCUGCAGAAACUUAACACUAGCUUCAAGGUGGUCGCUUAUGACCAUUUGGGUUCUUAUUAUGCAAAUAGAUUUGGUCUAUCAGUUGUGCUUUUUCUGAGCCAAAUACCACACAACACCUCCGAUACUGUAUCUUUCAAAGUCACUAAUAAUUAUGUCUAACAACAUUAUAAAGAAAUCCACAUUGGUGGCUUUGACUUCUGUGACCUUGCAGUGCAAUGUGCAUAUUGCAAAGUUACUUGUAUUUAAAUCCUGUGCUUCCCGUCGUUACAGAUCACUAACCUUAGUUCCAUUGUGUACCAGAAACCUGUCAACACCGAUAUAACAGCCCCAUUCUUUAAAAACAUCACAUUGAGAGUCAUCCCCACUUAAUGCAAUAAUUAGGACUGUCAAUAGAUUUAGAAAAUGUAACUAAUUAAUCGCACAUUUUGAAAUUCAUUGAUCUUGAUUAAUGGCGAUUAAUAAAUGUUGUUAGAAUGUAGUUUUUACUGAAUGUUUGUUCUUCUUCUAACGUCUAUUUCAGACACAAACCUGCACACAUUUGAUCAUCUUGGAGGCAGAAUUCCACCGGGUGGAACAUGUUGACCUAGCAACUCUUCCAGCUAGCUUAGCCUAGCGGUCAGUGGCGGAUGGUCCAUAGAGGGCCAUGGGACGUGGCCCCAACUUGAACUACAAAAAGUUUUUUUUAAAUUAUAUUAAAAAUUAAUUUUACAAAUAGUCAAUACGUCUCUAUUGGUGUUUUUGAAAUAUGGAAUAUACUCAGCGCUAUGCUUUUCCUGCACGUCCUCUCCGCAUGUCUCAUCAAUCGCGCCUCCUUCCUUGUGGUAUUUUGUCCGAAGCAGGCUACGGACAUUUCAUUGAGACCCCAACGAACCAUAUCAACUCGUGGUAAAAUCGGCAUAUGAUGGGACCUUUAAGUGGUCCGUUUGCCAAUCACUCCCCUUCUGUUGGACACGUGGAGGAAUUCCUCUGGACAGUUCUCCGCUAUAUGUCGCGGCUGUUUGUUUUACUUCCAAUGUAAAAGCUCUCUCCAUCUUGAGCUAUCAUUUUGAGGGGGAUUUGUCUGGUUUCUGUCUGUCAAAGAUGUGAUCAACCCCUAAAAUGUCUAUUCAAGUGAUCAGACUCAAAGGGUUUUACACACUGACAAAAACACACACACACACGCUCAAAGACAAAACAGUUGACGCUGAUGAAAAUGUCACUUGGUUUGCAGGUUUUUUGUCAUAAAGAAAAGUAUUGUAAACAUUAUUUACAUGGAAAGGAUUACCAAACAUAUUAAAACUACUUAUUGGGACCAUGAAUCAAGGUACAAUGUAUGUGUCCAUAAUAAUAUUGCAAACAAAAGAACACUAAUGUCAAUGUCAUGGUGGGGCUUGAUGAAAAGUAGGUAGGGUCAAUCAUGAUGGGACCAUAAAUGUCUGCACACAAUUUUGAAAUAAUCUGUCCCAUAUAUGGUAGGAUGUUUCCCUGAAUAAGUGAAAUUGUACACCUGCUGGUGGCUCUAGAAAAAGGUAGAAUAAUCAAUUCAAUCUAAAGUCAUGGGAAUCUGAACUCUGGGGACCAUGAGUAUUGGAACUCAAUGAAUUUGAAUUUUGUCAGAAAGCAAACACACAAGAUGUUCCAACGGAUGGUACAUCCAGCCCAGGACUCAAGAUAGAAAGUAAAUUGGAGCAGAACUUCAUUGCUUCUUCCUCACUUCACCAAUAUUCUUAUUCUUAAUUAUGAAUAAUUGUAACAUGUUUCGGUUAACUGGAGAUAUUCAAGCACCCGAGGAACCACUACUACAAUUGACAUAAUCAUGCACACAGUUUAAAUGUCUUUGAAUAUGACUUAUUCUCUGUAUCAUUAUAGAGCAUUGAAAACCACCACACUGUGCUUUGUAAACACUUUAAUUAUUGCAGUUACAUGUCCCAAAAGUGUUGAAAAGACACAGUUGUGGACAAAAUCGAACCAUCAAAACAACUUGAAACAGAAUGUUUGUGUGACAGUUUCAAUUGCUGUACUCUGAUUAUACAGAGCCCUCAAAUUGAGCAGGGAGGGACAUUCACAACCAAAUGUAUUAUUCAUCCUCCACCUUGUGCUACUGUAUUCCUCAAAUCACACAGGUACAAACCGGCACAGAUCACAGUAUGUGGGUUCCUGUCUUCUCUGUUGUCUGACUGGGGUCUGAUCAGCUCUGACACAUCCAUGCAGGUCUCAAGACGACCCCAGAGGGUUUUUGGAGCUUUGAGAACACCUCAUUGUUUUCAUUUAGGAAGGUGUCCAAAUCUGAAUAUACACUGCGAUGAAAGGUUGGAGAGUGACUGAGCUCUAAGUUUCAUCUGACCCGAUGGUCAGGAAGAAACGUAAUUUUCAUACACGCAUGUUAAAACACAUACUUUUGGCACUCUCACUGUGAGAUAAUAUUGAUCACAUGGACAAAUUAGGGCGGCACGGUGGUGUGGUGGUUACCACUGUCGCCCCACAGCAAGAAGGUCCUGGGUUCGACUCUGCCCAGUGGCCUUUCUGUGUUCUCUGCAUGUUCUCCCUGUGUCUACGUGGGUUCUCUCCGGGUACUCCAUCUUCCUCCCACAGUCCAAAGACACGCUCUGUGUUCCCUGUGUGCAGGAUAAGCGGUUUGGAUGGAUGGACAAAUUAAUAUUGUCUCUCAAGUUUAAAAAACGUAAUGUUGGCUUUAAAAAAGGGUGUUCAAGAAAACACAUAGAUUGCAUUUGGACACUCCCGGCAACAAAGUUAGGAAAAAAACGUUUUUCUUUCAGGUUCCCACAGUUCAUGUUGUGAACAACAUUUUAAAUUUAAUAGAGUUAUGCUUCAGGGGGUACUUUUGAAAAUAAUCUGUCUGUCGUACACUGUUCAAAAAGGGAUAAAGCCAUUCUACCUUGGUAGUAGAAUGAUCCUAGAAUGAAAAAUGAUUUCCUCUCUGAGUAAAAUAGAAGGCAAAAAGUGCUUAGGGACGCGUGAAAAUCUAAAAAAUCGAACUGCCAACACAAUCUAAGGCAGGGGUGGGCAAUUAUUUUUCCCAAGAGGCCACAUGACAAACAGGGACCGUUAUCAAGGGGGGCUAGAUAUGAUUCCAGCUUCCCUUCAGAGAUAGCUGAGAAAGUUUACUGCUGCAAAGAGAUAUAAGUAGAGCUGUGUUUUUGACGGUGCAAGCUUCCUCCAGUUAACAGUUAUUUCCAUAGACCAAACUCGAUCCUGCACUGCAGCUCUUUAUAAAAAGAAGAAUUGAAUCUCAGCAGUUGGCGCAAUAUGGAGUUAUGGAAUUAUUUGAAGAGUCUAAUCUGAUUUCUAAAACAUUAAACAUACCCUUGACAUUAACCCUGAGCACAACACCUAAACUCUGGAAGGAACGUGGACCAGCCAUUAUGAUUUUUAUGACUUUGUUUUCAAAGAACAGAAAGUAGAACAAAGGCUGUAAUUGAACAUUUGAUGUUAUGCUGACUGUGUGCAAGUGAUGAGAAAAAAUAUUUUGGCAGUGCUAAAUGGCAUUUAAACUGAGUGGAAGCAUUGCUAGCUAGCAUUACACCAAAUGUCUACUGGAUGUGCAGAAAAGAAGCUUGAUGGAAGAUUUGCAUUCAGUAUUUUUAUUAGAAAUAUAGUGGUGAAAACAAAGGUUUCUCAGAGUAAUUUUCAUUGCAGAAUCUAAAUGCUCUGGUAUGCAAUUGUUUGGUUUGCCUUUUUGUUAUCUAGUUCGUCAAGGGCUCUUGUUAAAGUCAAGUCAAGUCAUUUUAUUUUGUAUAGCCCAUAAUCGCAAAUUACAAAUUUGCCUCAGAGGGCUUUACAGUCUGUACACAUACAACAUCCUCUGCCCCGAAACCCACCAUCGGCACAGGAAAAACUCCCCAAAAAAUGAAAAAACCCUUACAAGAGGGAAAAAAUGGAAGAAACCUUAGGGAGAACGUCAGAGGAGGGAUCCCACUCCCGGGAUGGACAGACUACAAUGGAUGCCAUGUGUACAGAAUGAACAAUGUAUAAUAUAUGCAAUUCCUAUGACAGAAAUUAUUCAAGUAAAGUAUUGUUAAAGAGAGUUGUGCUUAAAUUAAUGCCCCAUUUUAAACAAGGGCCCAGAAUUAAGUAGCCGCUGCAGUCUGUAAGAUGCUGCCACUUAUUUUGUCUUAAUCUCCCUUGUUGUCGAAAAAGCCUUUACAGCUCUAAAGUAUUUGGACCUCAGUCUCUCUCAUGAGGAAAAAUACAAAGACAAGCUAGCUCACUAAUGACUGUGAGGAAGAAUAUUGUGCUUGCUGUGUCACAACUUUGGCAAUGCUAUGUUCAUAUGUUCCAGGAGAUACAAGAUUUGUAAUGAAGGGAUUUUAGAUUCGUCACAGAGGUGAUAGAAGCACAACUCAAUCGCAGAUGUACACAAACAAAAAUACUUUACUUCAAGUAUCAGAAUGCCAAAACACGGACCAGGCCACGGGGAACCAAAUAACUCACUGGCACGGGAAACUAGUACAACGUAAUGACUCAACAAGGGACAAGAAACACACAUGGUUUAAAUACACUGGGGAGGUGCAGGUCAUUGGACACAUGAAAAAACAAUUAGGGACACGGCAGACAAUCACCCAUGGCAGAAAACACCGGGACAGGAAGUAAAGUUAACCCAGAGACACGAGAGGCAGGAAAUUUACAGUGGAUUUCUAGUGGUGUCUUACAGUAUUUUAUAAUAACUGUAACAUACAAUUAAAUGUUCAUCCCACAGUCAAUGCCAUAAAUGAACAGUUUGCACCGUUAAUUUACACUAACAACAGACUACCGUAAUUUUACAGCAUUGUAUUGAAAGGCAUACUAGUAGUUAUUGGGACUUAAACAAUCAGCCAAUCAGAGCUCUUGUUGUGGGCAGGACAAGGUCUCCAGAGUUUCCUUGUCAAUAUGUUAAUAUGUGUGCGUCAAGUAAGUAUGUCCUGGGGUCUUUUUCAAGAAGCGGGUUUAGUGUAAACUCAGAGUUAGUUAAUCCUGAGAUGAGGUUAAACACGUGUUAAACACGUCGGGAGAGAAUGUUGAGGCCCCGAUUAGAUACAUUGUCAUUUUCAGAUAACUACUUGUUUGAACGAUAAUGUUUUUCUUCACAGUCCAAAUAUGUACAUAACCUCACCCAUCAUGGACAUGGUCCCACGUCCGAGCACAUUCUUUGAUCAUUACGUUUUUCUGCAAAUGGCAGUUUCCUGUACAACAUUGGUGAUGCGGAGAAUAUUAGUAAAGCUGCUGUAUGCAGAGCCGUGAGAAAAGUGCCUCGCACUGAAACGUCUUUUAAAUGUUUUUAUUCCCUGGACAAGAACCAUGAAGCCAAUAAAGAGGAGUUCCACAGGAUGCAUCUGAAAAAAAUACAUUACAGGUCCAAUACCAUUGUACCAGUUUUUACCAGCGAUAUUGUUCUUGUGAUUAAAUAGCAGCAUGGGUGUGUAUUUCAAGCCUGUGUGUAGUGCAUUCUAACAGUGUAAAAAGGGACGUGGGACGACAGGUGGUGGUGUCCACGGCAGUUUGAGGUGCCCAGGACGGAUGAGUGGGUAAACCAGUCGGACCUUGACGAAACCUCCCGGUGACCGGCUUUUUUACCUCGGGUUGAACUCAUUUUAAAAAUGAACUUCUCAGCACUUUUUCCAGAUGGUAACUUUCAUUUUCUAUUUUUAUAUAAAUUUGGAUUUUAAUUACUGGAUUUUAAAUCCCCGCCGCAUGUCAAGUUUGACUGCGGGAAAAUUGAACACGAGACCGAACAUCAAAAAUAGGUAAGAUACUGUUUUAUGAAAAUGUUUUUCAUAAGGCAUUUCAUUUAUUAAUAAUGCAAAUUAUGUGUGUUAGAGUGAGACUGUCUGAAAGUUUUGUCGAAAGCCGGCAGUGUCUUCUGAUCAGACAUAUUGUUUGUGUAGAUAAAACUCCAAUAUAAAAUGUUACUAGAUUAUAAAUAAAGUUAAACUCAACGUUCUCUUUUGUGUGGUUUAUGUUCUUUUGAUCAGAAAGUGAGAAAAAGAAAUUAUCAGAAAGUGAGAAUAUAGAAAGAAUCCAAACGUGAGAAUAGUGAGAAAGCGACAAGAGAGGGAAUAAGAAAGGUUGAGAAUCCGAAAGUGAAGAGGGAGUGAAAAUAAGAAGGAAUCAAAAAGCGAGUAGAAAGGAAGAAUAAGAAAGGGAAGUGCAGGAAUACCUCACUGGAAAACAUAAUUGCACAACAAGGUUAUCGACCUUAUCCAUGACGUAAGGGAACAAUUUAGCUCCCUGGCAAAGGGCAUACUACAGUCUACCUACUUUUUAGUACCCUAAAGAUUGAUGAAAUUUUAAUGAGAUUAGGAUAUAUUUAGAAACCAUAUUUAGGCACCAUAUGUAAUAACUUAAUAGUCCAAACUGAUUCUUUCUGUAAGGGUUACCAUUUAAUCUUCAAAAGUAAACACCAUGCCUAACUGAGUUGUCUACUAUGAGUAAUGGUAUUUAUUCAUUUCAGAAGAUUGCUGUUACAGUUUCAUCCAAUAUUUCCAGAGUUCUAGUAAACCAGAACGCAUUAGCCUGUAUGUUCCCUCGGCCUACUGUUGUCUCAGCAGGGUUCCACUCUGAUUGGUCCAUAGAAAGUCUGUGACCUUUCACCUGUGGUUUGGUCAAAUCUGCUUUCUGGCUGGAUUCAAACAGCAUAGUGUGUUCUGGGAGACACACGCCUUCUAAUAGAAAUAGUUUUGCGAGUUUGGGCAGAUGUAAGGUUGGGUAAAAACCCAACCUGGAAGAGGGAAACCGAAGGAUCCAGGGGGGAAUGUUGAAUGUGCCGAUGCUAAAAAAAAAACAGAGUAAGAGGGAUUUAGAGGGAUUUCCCUCACUAUUUACUAUCACUUUCUUUUUCGUCACGCUGUGAUAUGACUGCCUGUUUCCCUUUGGCAGAGCACAUUCCCAGUUAACAUGUCAGUCUCUUCUUCAUAUAUUACUCUCUCACACACACACACACACACACACACACACACACUGGGAUUUGUGUAAUGUCAUAGGGGUCAUCUUAUCAAGUGUGCAAGCUGUGCAGGCCUUUGGGGUCAGGCCAGGUAAGCCAAACCCUACAUACCAGUGUGUUAUUUCCUCAUUUUGACCAUAGAUCAUGCUUUUCUUUUUUUCCACGAAGAUGUAGUUUCAGCCUCUAGAUUUGUUUUGCCGUUUGUGGUUUGUGAUUCUGGUGAUGAUGAUCACGUCUAGCCAGAGGUGUCUUAUUUGUGUGUGCUUCUUUCAUUGUAGGCACACUCAUUGAUGCUUAGAUCUAGGCCCUUCGGAAGAAACUACAGGGAAGACAAACCAGACUCUCCUGAAGACUCAGGAUGUACUUGGCAGCUGUAACAGUCGGGUCUCAAGAGAAGCACAGUCAAACAUGGGGAUUAGGCAAAUUAUUUUCUUUGCAGUGUCUGGAAAGUUUGUUAUUGUUUAAUUAUCCCGUCUCUAACACUACCUAUAAUCCCUAUUAUUUACAGAUUACCUCGUAUGAAAAGAAUUCACUGCGUAUUCCACUCCUUUUCACCUUGUUCAUAGAAGGAAAACCACAUCUAAAACUGUCAGAACACACACACAGAACGCCCUGCUCUAUAGUCUAUAUGCACCUAAUUAAUGAGAAAGGAUUGGGGAGCAGACGGAGUAUUGAGUAUUGUUGCACCUGAUGUUUGGAUAGUGAAUUAUGGCAUCGAGUGAAGAGCAAAUUGGAUCCGUUAGUUGAAACAAUUGAGGAUUUAUGGAGCAUAAUCCCAUAACGCACAUCCUGGCAUCAGACCUUAUUCUCCUCACGAUCUCCAGUUAAUCUGUUCUAAAUAUGCCAUAGUUAAUCACCCAAUGCCAUAUUGUUCAAAGUUAUCCUUUAAAAUUACUAGGCAAUACUAUGACAUUAACAUGAAAUGUAAAUGUCAUAGUGUCAUCAUCCGAUUCGGCAGUUGGCCUUAACUUUAGCAUUUUACCAGCGAUCGACAGGUUUUUAUUCUGCUAAUUUGCAUCUGAUUCUGUUGUGAAAAAACGCAAUAAUAUUGUGUCCAACUGAGCAGGGCUCUUAAGAGCGCAGAAUGUCUGUACCCUUUUACAAGGGUAACUGUGUACGUCAAGUCAGCUGACACAAGAUGUCUGUGACCAAACCUUCAGGUUAAUCAUAUUGAUUUACUUUGUUUGUGGUUAAAGUUAUCAGAUGGAUAACAAUGAUAUAUUUUACCUACAGAACACCAAAUUCAGUAAACAUACAGCUGACAUCCUGAUGCCUCAUUAUCCGUUUGUUUACCAGCUAACUAAAACACAUCUUAUCGAACCAAAACAAAGGGACAACGUCAACUCUCAGUCAAACUGCUGAUUCCUUCUCUGCAACACUGCUUGCUGCCAAAGUCUCUACGUGUGAUGGAAGCUUUUGUAAGAAAGCGUCAGUUAUAACCACAAUAAUACACCAUACUUUUACACCACUUACACCACAAAUCACCCAAAAGCUGUUUUUACUUCAUAUAUAUAUGUAGCAUUAUGUCACCCUGGACUUUAACACACAGAGACAAACUGAAGCUCACAUGGGGAUAAUUUUACCUUUUAAAACAUUUUAACAGGGAACAUGACUAAUUUAGCAAUAAAUGAACUCAAAUUUUUUUUUCUUCUCUCUGUAUUUAUUUGCUGCUUUUGUGUUCAGGUCUGAUGAAUACGCUGACUUUGCACUGGAAUAUUCCUGUUCUUCCCAUGGGGGGCGCUCUCGAGUCAUCAAGAGAAAUUGGGUACUGCGAGAUUUUCUCAUAAACGAGAUAUGACACACACUGAGGGAGAGGGGGACAAAGAGAGCACGAGUGUGAACGGGACUAUAGUAGCCUGCCUGCUCAGCCUCUGUGGUGGGGGCUCCGUCAUUGUGCACCAGCUGUAUGGUUUGGGAGUGUGAGAGCUUUCCCAGGGCCCCACCAGUGCAGAGAGCCCUGCAUCUUGGUUGAUAGCGCGUAGCCCCUUCCUGUUAUUCACAGCUCAUUUCUUCCUCCAUCCAAAAACCAUCCUCCCACCUGCUCCUUCUAUCACGAGAGAAAUUCAUAUAUGAAAUCCCGGAAGUGGAAGCUGUGACUGGUCUUGAGUUUGAGGAAAUGCUCUCUCGCUUUCCUUUAGCACAAUGAGUAGAGCAUCAUAUUUUAUCACAGGAAGGCCAAAGACUGUGAACCUUUUGUAUUGCUCUGGCAAUACAAAAGGUUCACAGGGGGAUUUCUCACCUGAAUCACAUCCAGUCAGUGUAUAAACCAAAGAUUUUGGUUUGAUGAAAAAAAAAGUGUGGUGUGAAAACUAUAUGGCAGAACAACAGAAGUUUCAUUAUCAUUGGCAUAUGGUAUGCUAUUAGAAGUAAGCACAUGCUGAUGAUACUAAAUGUCUGUGAUGCUGUCUCUGUCAGUGCGGAACGAGCAUGGGAUGGAUGGACUGAUGAGUCACAAACCCUGCGAGGCCAAAUGUGUUUGAGUUAGCCAUAAUUUGCUCAGCGGGGGAACUCCUCCAGGUGGAAAGCAAGCACGUCUUAUUACCAUCUGCGUCAGCGACAAUCAGCUCUGAUUUCACCUUGUGAGUCUACUACCUACUGUGGCAGGAAGUACCAAAGAGGCGGUUUACAGCGCUUUGCCAGGUGCUUUUUUGUUUGUGGACAGUUAAUGUCACUACAAUGAGAGAUGCACUCAUAAAACUAAACAGGUGAGAGGCCAUUUCCCAUGUAGACUGUUAUUUCUCAUUAGUAGUGAAGUAGCUGCUCUCGUCUUGAAUACAAACCCAAAGUUAGCAGAUAAAUAAACACAAUUUCCAUAUCUGCUCAAACACAUUGGCAGUUUUAUUAAGCCGGCCAGAUUCCGGGCUAACAGCUACGGGAGCUAAACCCACAGCAAAGAAUGUGCAGAUUUCUAGAUAACAGUGUUCUAAUUCAACUUUUACAGAAGCUAACUGGUGAAUCCAUAUCUCAUAACAAAAAGGCAUAAAUAAAUGUAAGCCAACACUCUAAUAUCAUCUGCUCCUAGGUUUGAGAUAAGUCAUUUUUCACUUAUACGAGGCUUUAAAUUGAGGUAUAUUUUGCACCAGUCAUUCCAUUUUUAAUUGAUAAUAAGCCUUCCAAAAAAAUUAUCCAGCUACCUUGUGACGCUUGAAAAUGGAGGUUUCUGUACUGUGUGUGUCUGGAGCCAGCUGUUUCUUGAGGGUUGGGUAUGGAACCUGAGACAGGAGCUACGUUACAAUGGUCACCAAUGGGCUUGCUACAAUGUACAGCCUAAGAAAAGGACAGUUAGUGUACAGUAGGUACGAUGUUGACCCGGUUGUCUCCAAGGGUUUGGGUUAGGGUAGAAUGUGAAACUCAUAACAGAAAUGCAAAUGAAGAAAAUAACCUAGAAUUAACAUGAACAACAAUACACAGAUAUUUUAUUCAACAUUAUAUAAAUAAUUGAGGUGGAUUUGACUCCAAUGUGCUUUAUUGAUCAUGAAAGCAGUGAGAUUGUCAAGUCUGAUGCAAAGUCUCCCCUUCACUGCAGGGAUGAAACAAGGGAGUAAACAACUCUGUCUAAAGACAAAAAGUACAAAUCGGGCCACUAUGAAGCCAAAUGUGCUUCAUUUAAAGGUUUCAUCCCACGUUUAACUGAACCGGUUUUUGUGCUACAAAUCCAACUAUUAGCUUUUGAGGAGAAAUCCCAUUGUGAAUAGAUGAAGCUGAAACAAUACACUGAUAAGGAAUGUUUACCAGUUUGAUAAAAAAUCUCGGUCAACGGCUUGUCAUUUAUAUCCAUUUGGAUUUAAAUAGAUAAAUGUAUAUCUUGACUCCUGCCCCCUUCCCACAACCCUGUAUAAAGGAUAAGCGGCUUUAAAGAUGACUGACUAACGGACAGUCUUUUCAAAAUAAAAUACCAUGGUUGGGAAAAACAACCAUUUAGUGAACUUUAUGUGUCCUUAUUCAUGAUUGCGUUUAUAACAUUACAUCAUUUAGUGGGAGAUAAUUAAAUACAAAUUAUGGUGCAUUGUGUUUCUUAGUGGGAGCUACAAAUGCUAGAUGGGACCAGUCCUGGCCAGAUCUAUUCUGUCAUUACCUUUCAAACUGAAAGCCCCUGUCACUGCUGCGUAAAGUUUUGCCUGAUUGAAUUUAAAUUCACUCAUUAAAAUUAACAUUUUUUGGAAUUUAUUAAAGUAGCUUCCGGUAAUUAGGGCUACAUAAAAAUGUUAAGUAUUGCCAGAUUCUGCUUGGGGUCAAAAGGAUCCCACUAGCUGGUCCUCUUCCUGUUGGAAUCUAUUGGAACCUUCAUUGAACAAUUACGACUCUUUGCUGUCACAUCUUCCGCCGCAAACUAAAAACACACCUCUUCAGACUCUACCUCGACUAAAGACUAACAAAUUGUAGCAUUUAAAUUGUACUUGUAACACCACUGAUCUAUAGCAAAUUGUGAAUUGGCUUAUUUGAGAAAAUUGCACUUUCUUGUUUCUUGUUCUUCUGAGUUUGUGUCCUUAUGGUUGAAUGCACUUAUUGUACGUCGCUUUGGAUAAAAGCGUCAGCUAAAUGACAUGUAAUGUAUUGUAAUGAACAAGCGUUGCAAUUAGAAGAUAUUCACAAAUUAGUAUUUUGAGUCACAUUCAUUAUAAAAACGAAUGCCUAUAUGUGUAUUUAGUCCACCAAUCUUUACCUUUUCACCAGUGUUGCAUUGCUCUCCACUCAUGUUGCUUAUUUCCUCACAAACUCGGCUGUAUGUCUCCAACUUGUCACCAGUCAUUCUACCUGCAUCCUUUUUGCUGUUGCUUUUUCUGUUUCAUGUGUUUGAAUCACUUUUUCGCACAAAUUUAGAGUUGAUAUUUAAAUAUCGAUGAAUAGGGAGAAGACCAGAUUCCAUCUGCUGGUACAGUGCAUCAAUCCAGUGACAAUAGAAAUGUCUUCCAAAAUAUUAAAUUGGUGAUGUAGCGGAAAUCCCAUUGCUUCAUUUUAGGAAGAGGAAAAGGGGAAGACCAGAUUCCACAGUUACAGGUACAGUGCCUCAAUGCAGUGACAAUAAAAAUGUCUUUGAUGAUGUAACGGAAAAUCCGUUGCUUACAUUUUAGGCAGACUAAUCUAGAGCACAAUAUGAUUCUUUACUGUUUACAAGACACAUCAACUUAGCUCUUAACACAUUUAUGACAAGGUUUCUACAUCUCAAACACUAUUCAGUAGCAAAGAUCCUUUAUCAGUAAGCUGUUGGUGGACUCAUACAAGUAACAUUCUAUUUUAUUUUUUUUUAGAAGAGGGUGGAUGAACAUAAUGUUUUUUAAUGUGAGCGCUUUUAAUAUCCAAAAUCAGGAAGGAGCAAUUAAAUAAAAGGUUUGUGCAUCGUAAAUCUACAGCUGCUGGAAGAAACUAUGAAGUUACUUGUACAUAACUAAUUAUUCUUUAUAGGAGGGUAAUUUCUCUCAUCUGAAUUUGGAUUUAUUGAGUUUUAUUCAUGGCAGUUUGGCAAAGCUUCAAAAGUCAAAACAAAAUUCAGUAGAGUUUAUUUUCAAUUAUUAGCAGUCACCAUGACAAGUCUCAAGCUUGGGAUCUGUAAAAAGUGCAUAUUAAUUCUAUUUUGGCACUGAUUAUUUUGUCCCUCUCUUUUUUGCCGCUUAUGGAGAAAUAAAUAAACAAGGCAAUUGUCAAAUUUCACCUACCAAUUGUCUGGGGAGUCCGGGCAACAUUAAUACAACUUUCAGAGUGAGGCCUUUUUAACUGAAAUAGCAUUUUAAGAACAAAUGUCAAUCAAAAUCUAGUAAAACCACUUACGACCAACUCCAGAAAAUAUCUUUUAUUUAUAUCUAUUUCUGAAAAUCUCCCCCUGCGGAGCGCCUGGACAGCUCUUAUCAUUCAGUCUGGGGCAUGAGACAGGGGCCGGUUUGCAGAGGAGGAUGUAAGGGAGGUGUAACUCAUCGCCAGAUAAUGGUUUCUGUCUCCCCUUGCUGCAGUCACUGGCCCUACUGGCCAAGUCAUCAAUCUACUGGAUCCCGCAGCCCUCGUUUCACUUAUCACCCCAAAACUACCACGGUGCGCUCUGAAUAACUGCUUUCAUGCACUAAUCCCUUUCAAUUCCCCACAACAUCUUUCAUCUUCAUAAUCAAGUCCUUUUCCAUCUUUUUUCCCCCACCUGUUUUAACAGAGCCUACCAGGAUAACGGCCUUGUGACAGAGGACCAGUGUUGAGAGUAACGCAUUACAAAGUAACGCAUUACUGUAAUUACACUACUUUUAGCGGUAAUGAGCAAAUAACGAAGUCUUUUUUAAAAUAAAUUAACGCAGUUACUGAAUUCAAUUACUGAAAUUGAAAUGAGUUCGUUACUUGCGUUAUUCUCUUUUGUGGCGCAAAAAGGAGGGCCGGCAAAUAGUAAGUAAAUAGCUGCCUGUCAGCACUAAAUAGUUGUGGCCACCAAACGUUGUGUGUCACAGAAUAGUCGCCGCACGUGCAUGUAAACAGAUUUAUAUGUUUUUGUUUAUUGUGUUUGACUGUUCAGUACUAUUUAUAUUCAUUACAUUUAAAAAGCAGACAUAAAAGUAACUUAAAAGUUACUUUCCAGAGUAACUAAUUACUUUUGAUACACAGUAACUGGUAAGUAAUUCAAUUACCUUUAAAAGAAGUAACUAGUAAUUGUAACUAAAUACUCAUUUUCAGUAACUUGCCCAACACUUCAAAGGACCAAAUGUUUUAUCUCCUCGACAUGAUGAAUUCAGAAGUCGCUUUGACGAGCGGAUUUAGAUCUUCUCCGUGGGUGGUCUGCGUGUUUGAACUGACCUUGAGCGUAAUGAGGAAAAAAAGCAGUUUUUAGACAAUGCUCUUGUGGUGUUGUUUGACCGGCUGUUGUCGGAGCAAGCGAGUCUGAUGGCUGCAUUAGGAGGGAACGCUACAGCGGGUCUAUGGUUACUGUACCUAGAUGGGCUGCCACUUUGUGUUUGCGAGCAGCGCUGAACAGGCACCCUACUUUGAUUAAAGUUGUUUAUUCUUGCCAUGUGAUCCAUUGUGACAAUAAGGCUGGGUCCGGCUUUAACCUGAAGCCAAACACACACUAAUGAGGACCAGGCCGGGCCGGGCUCUCUCUUUAAAUGUGACAUUGUGAAUCAGGCUCACAAUACCUGGAAACAAUAGUUACCCAGUGCACUCAUUGGGUUCUCUAUUUAGGGCCAGAGGACCGACGCGUUCGGAACGGAGGACCUAUUGUUCCCCUAAUGUUUAUUAUUAUCGUUAUUAUCAUUGUACCACUUCUUCACAAUAACAGGGUGCUUAGGAUACAAGCAAGGCUGUUUUUGCAAAAAUUGCUGUCUAGGAUGCAUGUCGAGGGAAAAAUUGUCUCGCUAGUGCGGCUUUUGAUUAACGUCAAUAUUGGGUUUCAGCUAGCUUUAUGAAAUUUGGUAUGUAUGUAACAUAAUGGGAAGUACAAAAAAUUCUCUCGGAGGAAAGACCUUACCUAACAGUAAGUGGGCUAUUUAUUGCCACGUAUUUUACACAUGAAAGAAAUUUGUCUUGGUGAUUGGCGCGUAUAAAAUAAGAUGAAAUAAAAUAUACAAGCAAAAAUGAAUGAUAUAAACAGGUAAGAUAACAUAGGAUAAGUACGUUAAAAAACAUAUGUACAUAUAUUUUCAUGCUGAUGUAAUGUCUGGGUCACUGGGGCACUUAGUUUAUAAGAGGUCUUGGUCCAGGUUGUUACAGCCUCACCAUGUCACCAGUUGGUCUCCGAUCUGUGGGCGGUGGGCAGUUUCAUCCGCCAAUUUCAUCCAUUGACGGUGGAUGGAUGUUAUUCAUUUUAACAGAUGAAUCACUCUUUAAGACAUUGAUGAUGUUAUACAGCUGAUGCUCGUAAGGAUCCGUGAAAGAACGGCAACAUGGCAUCUCUGCGAAUUUAGAUACUUCCCCUUCAACCAAUAAAAUGAUGUAACUCAAUUCCACAAAGGCAGAUCUUUUUUCCGACCGUUAUCUUUAAUGAGACUGUGCUAAAUGAAAUCUACAGGAAAAUAUUUAAUCACAGUCAUGGCACCACCAACUAGUAACAGGAAGUUAGUGUUGCUAUGUGUUUCUCUUAGUAAGUAAAUCAGAUCAACACCAAAUUAGUUCUACAAAAUGUAGCAAGAUUGUGGUCCCAGCCCAAGAAGCUUCUACACCAGGGGUGCCCACUAGGUCCAUCAGUACCAGUGAGGCAGGACCAGUAGAUUGCAUCCCAUUGAUGAUAAAAUGAUGUCAAGCAUGCGCGGUGUACCGUGUGAGAUGACCAAAACUAAUGCUAAUUAGCAAUCCUUGCUUAUUAACGGACGCAUUUAAUUUCAACCAAACUUAGAACACACAUUUGAGCCUAGGAUAUUAAUACUUCAGACCUGCGAUUUUUUUGCUCAAUAAUUUGGGUUUAUGAUCAAAACCCGACUUUGGGUACAAUUGGUGUUGUAGGAAAUGAAUGUCUAUUUCCAGGCACUGUACUUUUAACAAAACUCCUCACUUUCAACUUUGGUCAGUACAAUUUUAGAGACCUAAAUUUAGUUAUUUAUUUUGUGAUUUUCCCAAUAUUGCUUAGCUUUAUAAGAGUCAUAGUUUGAGGUGCCUGCACACGAGGUUGUCGUCCAUAGUACAGGGAAUUAUUACAGUAUAUUGUAUAAAGUAAUUGAACGUGACAUACAUUUUGGGAAAUCAAAUCACAUAUCGACCAGAUUAAUUCAUAUUACGCUAUUUAACCUUUUUGCCUAAACUUUUUUCACGUGGAUGUCUACAGUCAUUUCUCCUGGACUCUUCCCGCUUGGAAUCACUAAGCAGUGAUUAUCCAUGCAGUUGGUUUUGUUGGAGUUGGAGUUGGCAAUCUGGGGGGGUGACUGGAUCAUUCAGUGCCACAGGCAUGAGCUGACCCUAUUGUUUGUGCAAUAAAGCUUCAGGAAGCAAUGAUGCAAUCAGGAAGUAAUAUCGAGAAUUAGCAGCAUCUAAUGUUACAGCAUUGAUGUGGCAGGCUUUGAAAAUGAUAGUAUGCUGAUUCGGGGUACUUUGUUAUGUGUUAUACAAUCUCAACCAAACAUGGUAUCUGACAUCUGCUUCUUUUCAAGGAUUUUUCUUCUUUUUCACUAGAGGAAUAAGAGGGGGAAUACACAUUAUGUUCAGGAAUGUUUCCACAACCAAUGAGAUCUGAGCUUGAGCUCUGCGUUACUAGCACCAAUGUCCACAUGAUUAAGGAGCCAGAGAAAGGGUAAUGAAAUAAGAGAGUAAAAAUGAGUGUGGUUCCCUUUGCAUCUCGUCUGUGUUUGGAUUGAUGAAAUUGACAUGGAGGGUUUAAACAGGGGCUCAUGCACACGUGUGUGCAAACCCAGUGCACCCAGUGCUCCUUCACUACAGUGAUAGAUUCAACAGUUCCCCCUACAUUAGCCCUAUAUUAGAUGCAGAGCUCGCUGCAUGAAAAAUUGUUUCUCUUGCAGGGAUGUCUAAUGCAUUUUUAAUAAUAUAUUUGCCUCAUCAGCAUCUCACCUCUCAGGGCGAGCCUGCGUACCUGAAAUGAGCAGCGGAAGAGGGGAAAGUUAAAUAGCUUUUAAGAUGUCUGAGUAAAGAAUGUUGGGAAGAAGGAUGGCUCACCAAAAUGAAAUCCAUCCUGAAAAAAAGUCCAAUAGUUCAGACAUUUAUAGGAGGGAACAGCAGUAUGGAUCCCUAAUGGUGAUUUUAUUGUUUUCGAUCCAGCAACUUUGUUUUCUUAAAAAUGUCCAAUUUCCAUUAAAAUUUCCAUUUUGUGUUCUAAUAAAGUAAUACCGAAACAUGUCACACUGAGCAUAUUACAAAACGUUGUCAUAUUAUAUAUAUAACAGUCUGUCGUUUCACCCCUCCUCAUCGAUCAGAACUUGCCGAAUGGUGGCAAUUUCCUGACCCCUGUUGACCGCAACAAUCCAAUCACAAUUGGAGAAACAUAACAAACGAGGACUGAAUACAGGACAUGUGUCCUACAAAUAGGCCCAAGCCGCCAGCCAUCCACACAGGGUCAGCUCGGAUAUCUCAAAUAUCACCCAUCGCUCAUCCAUUUAGGCCGUCAAACUGGGGCAGUCGGUUGUGACACUAUCGGGGUGCUCUGCUGCCCUCGUGCCCACAUCUUCUACCCUCUCUCAACCAUCUAUCACUGGAGGAGCUCUAAUUAGUGUGUUAUUCUGCCAAGCAAACUAUUCCAAGCUUCUGAAAAGGCCUCCUCGGGCUUUGAAUGACAGGGAAAGCAUUGAGAGAGGGAAAAUGGUAGGAGGAGAGGAAAGCCAAUCACUGUGCGCAGAAUGUCAUUUGAAUAGCCUUUUCAGCAAACUGCAGCAGCAAUUAUAUUCCCCCCUUUAGACUUCCUGCCAGGAUAUUUUUCUUUGUUGUUUCUUCGUCAAACUGGUGCCAUCAAUUGACAGGUUGAGCUUGACAGAAUAAUAGGUCCAUGAUAAAGAGGUCAAAAUUAAUUUCUGCUAUAGUGUCAUUACUGUAGAAAUAUAAUGUGCUGUAUAUGUACACCGUCAUAUUUAUGGCUGUUCAGAGUGAGUUAUGCUGAUUACUUUGAGGGAGAGGAAGGGUGGUGUCUGUUGAAUUGCAUUAAUUCAGUUUAAAUUCUGGCUAAUAUUUUGCAUUAAAAGAGAUCGGCAUGCAUCACACAUAUUAACAAAGAAAACAUUGUUUUUUCCUUUGCAUAAAACCUCACAGAAUACGACAGUCUCCCCAAAAUGAUCUUACUAAAUCAACAAUCACUUUUAAUGGCUGUUGAAAGUAGUUCUCUUCUCCUGGCUUGGUUAGACUAUCAGCUCUUUCACCAGACUACAAGUUUUAGUUAUGAUAAACUAGAUUAACAAGAUGUCAGUCGAUCAGAAUUUACAAGUAUAUUGGCUUUGGAUGGAAAUAUUUUCGACAUGACACUGUUCAAACUAUAUUUAAAAAAAUCUUGUUAUGAAUGAAUUACUAAUAACAAUAACACAUUUAAGUGGCAAGUUUAGAACGUAAAUUCAAAUUUCUCUUGAUUGGAAACUACAGAAAUGUGUUUUGAUAGUAAAGUUGCCCCACGGAUGAAUCCUGUCCUCUCUUUCCCCAUCAUCUUCUUCCUCUUCCAGCGCGACAUAGCAGGUUGCCCCAUGCUGCUUAUUUUCCUUCCAUCUUUCCUCGUAUCCCUCUGUUUCCCUGGACUGAAAGUCUGCCAAAGACUCAAUCUGCCCUGUUAUUCCUGUUUGCAGUGCAGAGUCCUUGUCCUUGUUGCAGUCCCAAAAGAGCUCCUCUUUCUUCCUCCCCCAGUGAGUGGGUUACGUUUGGAGCUGUUGGAUACAUUGAAUUACUGUGUCAUGCCACAUGCAGCACCUGGCAAUUGGAACAUAAUAGCUCUCUUCUUGCACCCAUCAGACACUGGCUCUCAGGUUAUUUGUUGUACUGUUCCUGAACUCAAUCCACACGUAAACAAGUAAGAGAGGUUAUAUACAUUGCUCUGCAAAAGAUUUAAAAAUAAUAUAAAGAGUUUAUAUUCAUCAAAAAUCUAUGAUAAAUAUUGAAAUUAAAGAUAAACGGCUUUUAAGUAUUAACGUGGACAGAGUUGUCAAGACACAAGGAAACUGUUUUUUACGGCAGAAGCGCUGGUUUAUUUCCCAAACAUUUGUCGAUAUGGAACAUAUACCAAAACAAUUAAUGAAGUUCUGGGGCCCCAAUUUAAGAAGUAGACAAAACAUAACUCUCUGAAUAAGGUUUAGCAAUGCAACGCAUCCACUUCAUUUUUCCCCCACCGAACACUUGAGUGAAACAUAUAUAGCGGCUGACUAAACCAACAAAAGAAUACAGGGAAGGAUAACCAAAUAUCUGACAUACAACGUAACACAAACCUGCCCUAAUUCCCCCAUGCGGUCAAAGCUCUGUUAUGGUCCAUGGCUCAGGCCUUCUGCAUAAAAGCCAACUCCACCUUCUGGUCUCAUCUUUUGUUCAGCCAUGAAGGGAACUCAGCAACAAGGUAAUGUCAUUGUGGGGCUUUGGCCAUCACAAGUAUUCAGAUAAUUUAGUUAAUAAAAAUAGUAAAACCACAUGUGAACUCGUUUGACAGUUAAAGCCAUGUUUUCAAAAGCUUUUUAAUUGGAAUAAUAUUCCUUUUAGUAUUUUUAUCAUUAUGUGCCUAAAAGGGCAGUGCUGAUUAGAGACAGAGAGGGAGAAAUAUGGGUAUGACAUGCACCAAAGGUGAAAAUGUUGGAGUUGUGGUUUUGGUUUAUUAAGUACUUAUCUACACAUAACAAAAAAAAAAAUCCAAGAUUAGAUAAAUGUAUUAAAUGAAACUGAAAAUCCCUGAAUUUUUCUGUGAAAAAGGUUAAUAUAAAUAUAAGUAAGUCUUUAGCCAUUUUAUUUCCUAAAGAAAAACACCGACUGAUUUGUGAGACAGGCAAAAAGUGACCUUAAUGUUUUUUGGCCACCGCACUGAUUCUUGCAAGAUACAGCUACACGAACGAGUAAGAAUUCGGUGAGCAAGUAUAGGGGAGGAAUUAAAUCAUGUUCAACUGUAUUUCAUCUUCAAUUUUCUUUUUUUGAGCCAUCUAUGAACAGCUCGGGGCAAGGUUGGGUAUUAAAAUGUCCUAGGCAUAGUGAUAGCUUUUAAAUAGACAUCCAAUAACUUUAUGUCCUGAUAAUGAAACUCAUUUUAAUGUCCCAGAUUAAAGCAGUUUUUAAACAUGGCAGCGCUGCUGGGAAAUGUAGGAUUUACUAUCCACAAAGGGGAUUACAGAAGAUUAAUUCAAAUGGUCUGUCUAGGCUUCAUUGUCAUUCUGCUUAUCCAUUUAUUUAUCAAUGAGCUUUUCAUUUCAGCUUUAUCUUGAAGUUACAGGUUUCUAAGAGACUAACAAAGUUGUAAAUCAUCAAUUUUCAUUAUUCUAGAAAAAUAAUUUUAAUUAUGAGGUGAAAUAAUAAAAGAAAUAAUCUACUAACAGCAUUGGGAAAAUUCAUCAGUAUUUGUUCACUUGCCUUUAGGAACACGUUUUAGUGAGACCACUACGGAUGUUUGCAAAGGAUGCAUUUUUUUUUUUUAAAUAUACUGGAAGAUGUGAACCUCUUAAGUGUACUAAAAAAAGUUUGCUUGAGCAAGUUUAAGUCAUAUCAAAUAUGCAAAACCACACAGGGGCGGACUGGGGGUAAAGUGGCCCAGGAGUUUCUGUCAAACCGGCCGACUCAAUGCUGCGACCAGUCAGUGGCCUACUUGGAAAAACACCAAUAAACUUAACAUUAUUUUGGAUGAUUACAAGGAAAUUCAAUCACACAUUGUUGUUUUUUAACAUUUUGAUUCACUAAUUUGCUAUUUGUACACGUGGAAUAAAAUGAUACUGGCUAUCGAAGCACAUCUGGAGCAACCUUGUCCUCUCUCGCCUCUGGUCCUACUAAUAGUUAUAUGGAGAGAAGACACAAUCAACAGAUUGCUGUCAGCUGAGCCCAAUUAAGCCUCAUACCAAUUCCCUGAACCAGUCCCCUCCCGUCUCCUCUGCAGACAAACCACACCAGUUUCACAUUUUCUACAGCUAAUUUUGAUGUAGUUCAGCAAAAUUACCGAGCUUCACAGUAAUGCUUGCUUUUAGUUUUUGCAUUUAGUUUCAGGAUGGUGUGUCACUCCAUCUUUACAAUACUGUACAAUCUCAACCAAACAGUUACGUAAGCUUGCCAUUGAGGGAAAAAAGGGAACAAAUGGAUUAGAUUACAAGGUACAUCAUUCAAGGGCAUUCACCCAAGACAGGACCCUUUGCCUCCACACACCACCAAUAAUAAUCAUAAUAAUAAUGAUGAAUGGAUACUGUCCAAUGCCAAUUGUGUCCCUGUUCCCAAAUGUCUGCUUAUCAAUACAAGAUGGAUGAUCAAGUCACUUGCUCACUAUUUUCUCAGGGCUUUGGUCAAUAGUCUCUCCAAUUAACAUCCAAUUACAAUGACCAGUAUUAAUCACCUGCGAUCAAGGGCAGUGAAGUUUGCAAAAGGUCACACAUGGACAAUUAAGAUUAACAGUGACAUGGCAGGAAGGUUAAUGCAGCGGGUGCGUUGUAGGUUGGGGCUGACAGAUACAAAGCAGAAAGAAUCAACGACAUUAACCCUGAGGUUCCUAGUGACUGGAGCUCAUGGGUCAAAUAUAAGGCUUGUCUUUAGUCUAAUGCUCUCUAAAACAAGAAAAAUGAAUUUGUUGUUGUUUUAAGGAAAAUGGAUUAUGACUUUUGCCUAAUGAAUUUUGCUUCUCAUUUAGCUGGAUGCAGAACAAUGCCUGAUGAACACCUAGGAGCCCACCAAAUGCUAUAAAAGUCGGGAACAAAAUUGCUCUCUUGUGGAAUGAGUUCACAGGCAGCUAAAAAGGCAUGUGAGUUGACAACUUAGGAGUUGUAUAAAGCGAAAGUUGUGAUAUACUCUGAAGUCCAUCCAUCCAUCUUCACACCACUCAUCCUGUACACAGGGUCGCGGGGGGGCUGGAGUCUAUCCAAGCCAACUUCGGGCGAGAGACAGGGUACACCCUGGACUGGUGGCCAGCCAAUCGUCAGUUUGUCAGCUCCUACAAAUACCUUUGCUUCUGGUUGGACUCAGCUCUCUCAUUUAACAUACACAUACAAAUCCUUCUGGCUAAAGUCAAAGCCAGACUGGGUUUUUUGUAUGGAAACAAGGCCUUGACUAUGGCAAUAUAAUCUAUAAAAUGGCAUCAAAGACCAACCUUAGAAAUCUGGACACACUCCACCACUAUGCAAUCCGAUUUGCCACAAGUGCACCCUUCACCACCCACCGCUGUGAUCUUUACGGAUUGGUGGAUUAGCCCUCCCUUGAUACCAGGCGGCUACAACACUGGCUGCUCGUGGUCUACAAAUCCAUUAUGGGAGUGAUCCCUCGCUACCUCUCGAAUCUUCUGCACAUUUCCGACAGCAAUCGCCAUUUAAGAUCCAGUCACUUCAGUCCGCUCAUUUCAAAAGUCUGUACGGUUUGGUCAUAACUCAUUUCAUUUUGCUGCUGCAAAUGAGUGGAACUCCAUACAAAACACUCUCAAACUAACAGCCCUCACCUCUCAACAUGUUAAAAAAAAGCUGCAACAAGCCAUAGUUGACUCCUGUACUUGCUGAUCAUCCCUCACUUCUCUCUCCCAUUUUUAUAAAGAACUUCCAGUAAUCUGCCUUUUUAUUUGUACAUAGUGUUUAUUUAUAAUUUAUAAAUGUAUAUAUUUAUAUAAAAACGUGGUAAGAUCUAGUGUCAAUGAGUGUAGGGACUGCCAUACUAGACCAACUUUUUUUUUUCAAAUAUAUAUAUAUUUUUAUUCCGACAGCAUGUCGGACCGCUUAUACAAUAAUACUGUGUUUUAAAACUAGCAUUAUGCAAAGUUAGAGUCAACUUUUGAUACUAAGCUUUUUAUGUGUUUGUGUUCGUUGAGAGGCUCUGUGUUGUAUGUCUUAGUACUUGACAAUGUAUAUGAGUUGUAUUCUCUUUCUUUUUUUCUUUGUUUGUGCAUGCAAUCUUUUUAAUCUUAUCUAUCUUUUUAGGUUUUUUUGUAACAUCGGCAACCUCUUGGGAGUACAUUAAUAGCAUGUUGGGUAACUGGCAUAUUUACAGAAAUGUUAAUAAUUUACACUGUCCCGUAUAAAGUAAACCAAUAAUCAAGGAAAAUAAUGAAUAAAAAAAAACAACUCGGGUUAUAAUGUAUUCUUUUUUUCGUCCCCAAAUGGCAAAUCUCAAAACGCGGCCUGUUUGUCCGUCCUCCAACUAGCUCAUCUAGCUCAUCGAGUUCUGGUUCUCCAUUGAUCACCAGUCUUGGAUUAAGGAACUGCAUACACAUUACUAAUUGUAAUAAUGUUUUUUGUGUUUCUUUUUCGUACCAAGGUCUUAUCAGUUCACAUGACAAUGCAGACAUUACUCCCUGAAAACAGCAAAUACUUUUAUAAUCAUCACUAACCUGACCGAAAUAGAGUUACCUCACUCUUGUUAUGGGAAGAUAACUUUUUAAUCCAUACACAUGUAACACACGCCAGCAAACAGGUAUUUGAUAAAAGGCCAGGUCAUGCAUUUCAUGUCUUAAUUUUUCAAUCCUUCAGGAAUCAGGAACAUUUAUUGCAAAAAUAUGUUCGACAUAUAAGCCAUUUGACAUGGCGGUUAUUGCAUAAUAUUGGACAGUAAGACCAAGACAAUGGACAACAAGACAAAUAAGAUGCAAAAAAAGUGGCAUUUUCAAUUUGACUCUAAAGUAUAAAAUAGAAGGCUAUGGGCUAGGGGAACAUACAAUAAGUUGGAUAAAAAGAAAAUUAAGUAAAAAGUUCAAAUAAAGUGCACUGGCCAACAUAUAACCAUACUCUACAAAACUGUGUUAUGAGUGUUUUGACAAGUCAACAGAUUUUAUCUGGGGUGAAAGGGCUCGGCUACAAUCUUUCUAGCUCGCUUCAGGGUUCUGGAAGCGAACAAGUCCUGGAAGGGUGGCAGAUUGCAGCCAAUCACCCUCUCUGCAGAGUGGAUGACACGCCUGCCUCUGUCCUUGGCUGUGGCUGCAGCGUACCAGACAGUGAUAGAGGAGCAGAGGAUGGACUCAAUGGCCGUGUAGAAGUACACCAGCAUUGUCUUUGGCAGGUUAAAUUUCUUCAGCUGCCUCAGGAUGUCACAGUUACUGGUAGCGGUGCACGAAUGACCCCAAAAGCACGGCUCGUGCGAUGGGCGAGACAGAUGGAUUUUACUGAAAGUUCAAGCAAAAUUGAUAACCGGGAGAUCCAUUAGUAGGCGAACAAAUUCAGAGGAGCAGGCAGAGAAUCUGUAGUUGAAAACAGGCAGGGUCAGAACAGAAGGAUAAAGGCUAAUUUAGAAACACCGGAGGACUUGGCAUACACACAAGAUAAUCUGGCAGGGAACAACCGAAUGUGACCGGCUUUAAUAGUGAGUGGCUGAUGAGGGGAUGUGCUGCAGGUGAGACAGGCCAGGAGAACCAGAUGAGGGUAAUGUGGGAGGAUCUGAAAUAACAGGAGGGUUAGUAAACAUGCAGGUGGGAUGAAAAACAAACUAAGAUGUGGUCAAAUGUGUGACACAGGAAGUUCAUCCUCUGCUGAGCCUUCUUGGUCAUGGAGGCUGGAGGUGCAGCUGCUUCUGACCACUAAAAGCGCUUUAACACUACAUGACAUCAUUCACCCAUUCACACCCAUUCAUACACUGAUGACAGGAGAACCAUACACAGUGACAGCUGCCCAUCAGUAACUACCAUUCACACACUGUAGUCACAGCUACAGGAGCAAUGUUGGGUUAAGUGUCUUGCCCAAGGACACAUUGACAUGCGGGUUAGCCGGGCCUGGGAUCGAACCGACAACCCUCUGAUUGGAGGACGACCGUGCUUCCCACUCACCCACAGUCGCAGUCGAUUUUGUGUUGUUUGUGUACAGGUUGAAGAGCAGAGGUGGGAACCGGUAACAUGGAGUCUGUGAUCCACUUGCAGGUGGAGUCGGGCACAUGCAUCUGAGAGCUUGUCCUGCAGCAGAGAAGGGAUGAGGCGAACUGCUAGAGGUCCAGGGGGGGGGGUUUCGAGGGUUUUUAGGUGGGACAGGACUAGCCGUUCAUGACUACAGAGGUCAGGGCGACGGGCCUGUAGUCACUAAGUCCUGUGAUCCUGGACUUUUUGGGAACAGGGAUGAUGGUGGAGGUCAAUGAGCGCACGAGAGAAAGAUGCCUGGCAGCGGUGUGGGAGAACCACGUUUUAACGAGUAGGCCCGUUUUCCUCUCCGAGUUGUUUCCGAUCUCUGGUGAAAGAGCUCCGGGACCCACAGCAGGAAACAGAAUUAACAACGAAAAUUUAAAACAACAAAAAGAAAACAGCAACGACACACCGACGCAGCCAUCUGCAGCACCAUCUUGGCUUCAUUAUAGGCUACAGCAGCGGUUCCCAAACUCAAGAAUCUCGCGGCCCACUUUGAAAUCUGAAAAUCUUUGGCGGCCCACCCAAACCUUUAAUCACAACUCUGAUCCAAACAUAAUGAUUAAAUGACCUUGAGAAUUUAACCAAAAUCAAACAUCCGCGAGCAAAAGUCUGUCUCGCACGAGCAAAAGUUUGUCUUCGCGAGGUAUUUGCUCGCUUGCGAAACGUCGCGAGGAGAAUCUCUGCUCGCGCUCGAAGGUGUUUUCUACGUGCUCGCUGUGGUUCUUUUUGACAGUGGAGACGGUGCUUUCAGGGUCCGAUCGAUGCUGCGAGGUGCGUCCGCUCCCGCCGCCCCCCUCGUCAUCCACGCCUUAAAUCUUCGGCUGCUUUUAGAAUAACUUAUUUCCCCGUUAAGAUGGUUCAGCUACUGUAGAGAAAAGGACACCGUCUCUCGCUCUUUAAUCUCAUUAAAUGCUCGGCAAGAACGACAGCUUUGUUUCUCCGACGCGCCCUGAAACAAGCUCCAUAUCUCACGCGCUUGAGCUCCGCUCAGCAUCUCGCCGUCGUAGACGAGCUCUGGCAUGUUUGUCAGAGCGGCUUGAGCGCCGUGUACAACCAGUAUGGAUCAACCGAUUAACCAAUUGAUCCAUAUAUAUAAGGCGCUCCGGAUUAUAAGGCACUGUCGUUUUUUGAGGAAAUUAAAGCCUUUUAAGUGCGCCUUGGAGUGCGGAAAAUGCGGUAUAUUUACUUCAAUACUACAAGAGGGCGCCCCGUUUGUUGAACAACGACAGGCAGACAAGAGCAGCCGUUUCGAGAGAGAGCCUUAUUGUUUUAUUAAUCUGUUCGUUUGAAUUGUUUGUGCUUCAUCAAUUCAUAAAUAUUUUGAUAUUCAUUUCAAACUUUUCAAAAUUGAAAAUUCAAAACUUUAUUUAUUUAUUGUAAAUGACCUCUCGCGGCCCACCUGCAGUACCUUCGCGGCCACUUCACUUUGGGAAUUGCUGGGCUAUAGCAUCCCAUCAGUAGCUCAUUCAUCAGUAGGAGUCUACAUCACAAGUCAAUAGCACAAACAUACAUCUGAUAUGUCAACUCAGCAGUGCGAUACUAACAUGUUAUACAACAAUAUUACUCUCUGCUCUGGAAAUAAUUGUUUUCUUCUUCUGAUUUAGCAAAAGAAUAACACGCUGAUUAGAAACCCAAUAAAUCACAAACCCAGGGUAGUGAUGAACUGUACACACAAAAUGUGCAACUUGCAGGCCUGGAAUCCAAACACAAAAACAUGUUCGAAUCUAAUUACACAACCAUUCCAGGACAAACGGUGGCAUGCUAACAGACAUACACACAAACAGGCCUACAAAACACAAAGAGACACAGUGCUCAGUUAUCUCUAGGAGCAGCGUCUGCCAGGAAGUUAUGGUUAACUCUUUGAUCCUUUCAGUCCCUGGAGACAUUGUGCUUGAUUAUUGUGGCCUGUGCCUGCUAGAUCAAUGGGUCAUCAAUGAGUGUAAUAACGUCUAACAUGCUGCGGUGAGCCCUUAUUGUUGCCUCCAUGCCGGCUCACAGGCAGAAAGGGAAUCAAGUCAAUAUGUGCAAAGACAUCAGAAUCAAUAAUAUAAAUCAACCAUAACUGGGUUUAGGAAUGCCUUUAUGAUGGAAAAAGCCUAAUUAAACAGUCAUGCUGAACCGCAUGAUGAUAUGCAGAAAGAAUCUGAUAUACAUUUAAAGAAGCAGUUAGACUAUAAUUUCCGCUUGACUACUAUGUCCAGCCAGGACUCGUCUACAUGUCCAGGUACUAGCAUGCCAACAGUCAUGGCGUGUUUAGCCUAGCUUAGCACAAAUACUGACCGCACUAAGAAACAGCUAGCCUGGCUCUAAAACCCCAAGUAACAAAAAUGAAGGCCCUUACACAACACGAGUGAUUAGUUUGUGCGUCCAAUAAACAAGCCUUUAAACUCAAACGGUUGUUUUCCUCAUGAGCACCUUCUUAUGGAACGAUGUGUUUAGUUAUUUAAAAACAAGAUCAUUUUUUGAUAAUUUGCAAUAUGAAUGAAGGCAUCAACUGAUCACACUAUAUGGAGGAAAUAACAGAAAUGUGCACUAGUACAGGGAGGCUCUUAGCUGUCAGAACGUAGCAAUAUUAAAGAGUAAUAAAGUAAACUUCAUAAGCAAUUCUUCCCAACCAUGACACAGCACAGACCAGAUCAA
ensembl:lncRNA